UGCAGUGGAAAACUUGCAAAAAAUAUUUAAAAAAAGAAAAUUAAAAACAUACGGUCCCCUGAGGUAAUGAUAAGAGGGGAGACAACACAACGUGAGUAAAGCAAAUAAGACAGGUAAAUAUGUAGCAGCGACGCGCAUGGCAGGGGUAGGUACACCCGCGGGGAAGGCCUGCAGCAACUAAAAAAUAGGUGACUACGAACUUGCAAAUAACUGAGCGGCACUGUGGUGGCGUAUAUGUACAUACUCAUGUACGCGUGCAUACAUAAGUAUGUAAGCUGUGUUCAAAGGAGAGGAAGGGGAGUAAAAAACUCGCUUCGUUAAACGCGAGGGCGCAAUGCGCAGCCGCCUGCGUCGUCAAUGUGGUAAAUACCGUUGCACUUGCACUACGGUCAGGUACUGCAAUAUGUUGCGAAGGCAAAUUGAAGGGGCGUUGAGCGUGUCGAGGGUUGAAAGGAAAAACUGAAGAGAGUCCCACUCUAAAGGUUGUGGGCAGGGAUGCGGAUGGAGGCCAGCGAAUAUCGCUGUAGUUUUGUUCUGGAUAUGACCGUUGGCCAUGGCGUGUUGCGGCAUUUCGCAUGCAUUUUUACCUUGGGAAUAACCGUUGUUGGCAACUUGCUGAAGAGAAAUAACGAGGCGAAAAGUAAAAGCAAUUCAAAUGCAGCAGGGUGGGGAAGAUAAACUCUUGAGGUUGUCGCGUACCCAAUUUGCCACAGAACGAGGACGAAUCGAACACGUUUCGACUCCGGUCUGGUGAGCUCGUCUCGAUGAACUCGAAACGACGUCAAAACGAAGCCGUUGUCUCCAGGAAGUUUUUGUCUCCGCACAAAGUUUGAAAGUUGGAGUUUAUUCAACAAUUUUUUUGAGCUUGAGGACGUUUCUGUGUAAAAA